rnacentral:rRNA from 1 species
CAGUAGCCACGGUAAUACGUAGGUGGCAAGCGUUGUCCGGAAUUAUUGGGCGUAAAGGGCUCGCAGGCGGUUUCUUAAGUCUGAUGUGAAAGCCCCCGGCUCAACCGGGGAGGGUCAUUGGAAACUGGGAAACUUGAGUGCAGAAGAGGAGAGUGGAAUUCCACGUGUAGCGGUGAAAUGCGUAGAGAUGUGGAGGAACACCAGUGGCGAAGGCGACUCCCUGGUCUGUAACUGACGCUGAGGAGCGAAAGCGGGGGGAGCGAACAGGAUUAGAUACCCCAGUAGUCCCUGUCUCUUAUAC